rnacentral:ncRNA from 2 species
CCCGAUCGUUGAGACCCAGGUGCCCGGGAAGCGGAUGAAAACUCCGCACUGCCCCCGCAACGGUGAUCGCGUGACUCGAUGGCAUGACAGCACUGUCAGCCACUGUCCCGAGGAUGGGAAGGCGUCAUCGAGUCGUCGGAACCUCGCGUUCCGCGACGCGUCAGUCCGGAGACCGGCCUGGGUCUUUGCACUGGC